rnacentral:tmRNA from 1 species
GGGGGUGAAAAGAAUUGACAGAAUUUCAACCAAAAUAGGCAAGCCGAGUUUGCUACUAACUCGUAAAAAGUAGUAAAUAAAUAAGUGCUAACUUAUUUGCAAGUCCAAAACUUGCUCCAGUUUACGCAUAAAAAAACGUAAACCAUCCGCUCAUCGACUCUCGAUAGGUGAAAACGGGUGCCAUAAAUCGAGAUAGACAAUUAUUUCUGCUUCAAGUAAUUGUUGAAAAUUAGAAGCUAAGAAUAUUAAAAUUUUGUCUAUUUUCAUAUUUAAUAUUCUAAAAAUAAAUAGACUAAACUUGUAGAACUAUUUUAGAAGAAAUUUCUGGACGAGGGUUCAAUUCCCCUCCAACUCCACCA